CUAGUGGACAUGGGACAUGCCUUGUUCUCUGGAUACAUCCUGUCUACAAUUGCAAUCACCUGACCAUGUAGCGACCGCAUGGCCACCUGGUUCAGGGCUUGGGCCGCGUAAUCAAGUUACGACAUGGAUAACAGCACGGAGCUCUGGAACAAUAGCAAAACCAUGGACUUUGACAACAACAUUUAACAAACUCAUGAGGCAAAGGAACGUUUGAAGGAGGUCAUGCUCACGGGUGCCUGGAGGUGGAGGUUAUUUUCCACAGAUCAAAUCCGUGGACUCUGGGCAGUCAACACGAAUGGAGCAGUGUCUGACGGAGGAGGUGAAGGAAGUGGCAGAGAUUACAGCGAAGGGAGGAGUGAAGGCAGAGGGGUGUGUCUCGGUUGAGCAAUGGGGGACAAUAGAAAUCCCUGCAAAUUAGACGUUCCCCAGCCCUCAAUGGUUUAUCAGUUACUUGAGUCCAUAUAAAAUGGUGCUUUCUCAUUUUUGCAGUAGUCCUACAUAUAUAGUAGAAACUGUAAUCCUAUAACUAUCCAAUAUUUCUUUUUAUGAAAUCUAUUAUAUUGGAAACGUCUGGCCAUAAAAUAAUACAGGGUUUGUUGUUGUCAAAGUAUUUAACAUCACUGUUGCACAAAAAUAUCUUAUAGCUUAUAUUUAAAAAUCCUCAUGCAUAGCUUCAUUACAUCAUUCUGCAUCAAGCAACAAGCAACUUCAUAAAUAAAGGUAUUUGAAUAUAA